rnacentral:rRNA from 1 species
GAUGAACGCUCGCGGCGUGCCUAAUACAUGCAAGUCGAGCGAACAGACGAGGAGCUUGCUCCUCUGACGUUAGCGGCGGACGGGUGAGUAACACGUGGAUAACCUACCUAUAAGACUGGGAUAACUUCGGGAAACCGGAGCUAAUACCGGAUAAUAUAUUGAACCGCAUGGUUCAAUAGUGAAAGACGGUUUUGCUGUCACUUAUAGAUGGAUCCGCGCCGCAUUAGCUAGUUGGUAAGGUAACGGCUUACCAAGGCAACGAUGCGUAGCCGACCUGAGAGGGUGAUCGGCCACACUGGAACUGAGACACGGUCCAGACUCCUACGGGAGGCAGCAGUAGGGAAUCUUCCGCAAUGGGCGAAAGCCUGACGGAGCAACGCCGCGUGAGUGAUGAAGGUCUUCGGAUCGUAAAACUCUGUUAUUAGGGAAGGACAAAUGUGUAAGUAACUAUGCACGUCUUGACGGUACCUAAUCAGAAAGCCACGGCUAACUACGUG